rnacentral:rRNA from 1 species
GACGAACGCUGGCGGCGUGCUUAACACAUGCAAGUCGAACGGAAAGGCCCUGCUUUUGUGGUGUGCUCGAGUGGCGAACGGGUGCGUAACACGUGAGUAACCUGCCCUUGACUUUGGUAUAACUUCAGGAAACUAGGGCUAAUACCGGAUAGGAGCUCCUGCUGCAUGGUGGGGGUUGGAAAUUUUCGGCGGUUGGGGAUGGACUCGCGGCUUAUCAGCUUGUUGGUGGGGUAGGGGCUUGCCAAGGCUUUGACGGGUAGCCGGCCUGAGAGGGUGAACGGCGACAUUGGGACUGAGAUACGGCCCAGACUCCUACGGGAGGCAGCAGUGGGGAAUAUUGCACAAUGGGCGGAAGCCGGAUGCAGCAACGCCGCGUGCGGGAUGACGGCCUUCGGGUUGUAAACCGCUUUCGCCUGUGACGAAGCGUGAGUGACGGUAAUGGGUAAAGAAGCACCGGCUAACUACGUG